rnacentral:siRNA from 1 species
GGCUCUGGGCCGAAACCCGUA